rnacentral:lncRNA from 1 species
ACGGGAGAAGGAGGAGAGGACGUCGGAAAAGAUGAUCGGAGGCGGUCCCAUUGAGCGCUCCUUUAAGAAUAAGGGUACUGCGAAGACACACCCCUUCCUCUAGCGCCAAUCCUGUUGGUGCAAAAAUUUGCCUGCAUCGGAGAAGCUGGAGUCGAGGGAGUCGCGGUCGCCAUCGGGACCUACAAAGGAAGUCUAAAUUGGAGUUGGGGU